GUCCACGCCCUAAACGAUGAUUACUCGAUGUUAGCGAUAUACCGUUAGCGUCAAAGCGAAAGCGUUAAGUAAUCCACCUGGGGAGUACGCCCGCAAGGGUGAAACUCAAAGGAAUUGACGGGGGCCCGCACAAGCGGAGGAGCAUGUGGUUUAAUUCGAUGAUACGCGAGGAACCUUACCCGGGCUUGAAAGUUAGUGAAGGAAUUAGAAAUAGUUCCGUCCGCAAGGACACGAAACUAGGUGCUGCAUGGCU
rnacentral:rRNA from 1 species